rnacentral:rRNA from 1 species
CCUACGGGAGGCAGCAGUGAGGAAUAUUGGUCAAUGGGCGGAAGCCUGAACCAGCCAAGUCGCGUGAGGGACUAAGGCCCUACGGGUCGUAAACCUCUUUUGCCGGGGAUCAGUGCCCAGCUCGCGAGCUGGGAGGGAGCGUACCCGGAGAAAAAGCAUCGGCUAACUCCGUUCCAGCAGCCGCGGUAAUACGUAGGAUGCGAGCGUUAUCCGGAUUUAUGGGGUUUAAAGGGGGCGUCGGCGGGCCUGCAGGCCGGCGGUAAAAUUGCGGGGGGCACCCCCGCCGAGCCGUCGGAACCGGGGGCCUUGAGUACCGGAGAAGUACGCGGAAUGCGUGGUGUAGCGGUGAAAUGCAUAGAUAUCACGCAGAACCCCGAUUGCGAAGGCAGCGUACCGGCCGGUCACUGACGCUGAGGCACGAAAGCGCGGGUAUCGAACAGGAUUAGAGACCCUAGUAGUC